CUCAACUCUAUCAUGAACUGUGAUUGUGAUCCUGAACUUGUAUUUUUUUUUUUCAUCUGUAGCACAGAAAUACAAAAUCUUAGAAGUGGAUGCAAUAUUAAAGUUCAUAUACCAAGUUUUCAGUCAACAUUCUUUACAGCAACAGUGUUGUCCCCAUACCAGCCAUGGAGGAAGCUGUGAAAGAGAGGAUUCAGGAAAUUGGUGCAAAUGAGCUAUCUUGGAAGUCUAGAAAGGAAGAUCUUCAUAGGAAAUUCAGAUGCUCACUCAGCAAAUAGAGCAGCUGCACCAUCUUUAUGAAUAAAGUGUUUAUGAAUCAUCCCAGGCUGAAAAAAGUAUAGGGAACAAUAAAGACCCUUGAUAUAUCUGA